UGAGGGUGAGAACUUGGUUGGGUUUGGGGUCUGUGCUGGCAAGACCUGGAAGAAUAUUUAGGACAGCAGGGAUGAUGGAUAUGCAGCGUUUAUCCUCAAAAAAUGUGUACCAGGCAGCAAAAUGUACCGGCUACAGCAGGACCUGAAGCUGAAACACAGCAUUCUUCAGAUGACACCACAGGCAUCUGCUCCCUCAACACCAGCACAUCUCACCACUACUAAUCUUCCAGGUACACAAGUAGCUGGAGUCCAUGGCGCCCUCAAGGUAAGACAUACAGAUGAAGUACCUCAAGGUUUUAAGUACAAACCACAAGCUCCACUGAUCUGUACUCUUUUGGACUAGCUUGUCAGAACACACAUCAUCCAAAUGAUUACAAUUAUCAAGCCUUUCACAAGCUGAAUGUCAGAUAUUUUGGUGGCAGGAAAUACUUGGAAAGUGUGCUCAGAAUUGGGAACCCCCUAAACUACACCAAUCUACACAGCUGCUCCCUGUAUUAAUAUUUCUCUUUUGUGUGUGUCCGAUACACUGUUUAGCAGCACCAAGGCCAUUCUAUAAGCUCUGGUGGACUGCUGGUGGACUGUCUCAUCCAGGAGUACAGAUGGCAAGAAUUAGUUCUCGAUCAACUGCUGCAGGGCACAUUUGGUCACGUGUUCAGAUGUGACCUCACAAGGAAGGUGGCCAGGAAAGUGACUUUCAGUUCUGGCUCCAUGUCAUCAUUGGAUGAUUCUGUCCUGGGUGAUGUUGCUGUCAGAGUGUGAACCUUCUCUGAAACCACUGUAUCAGGGUCUGGUGUGGUGUUCAGAAAGCAAAGUACCAGUGGGUAGACAGGUAUGGUUUAAACCUUAUAUUGAACCCUAAUCCUAAAUUGGAUUUGAUUUGCUAACAUUGUUUUAUUCCUCCUAAUUAAAUUUUAAUUGUUAUGAAGGAAUCCAUUAAUUAAUUAGCCCAGAUGAACAUCUGCAUUGGUGUUCAUGGAACACAACAGAGGACGUGGUAGCAGAGGCAACUUCUGAUCAACACAUGUGCUUCAUGCAGCCAGUACAACAAGCACAUUGGUGUUUAACUUGACUUGUUCCACUGCAUGAGGCGAUUUCUUUGUGAGUGUGUUUGUCAGAGCAUCAUUCACUAUACAGCGCAUUCAGCCAGUUUAUAUCCGCUGCAUUCUCUGUGGUUGAUCAAGGCGACCUGGAGAAUUUGAAAGAUGCAUUUAAUACAUUCUGUUAUUUUUCUCCACCUAAUCCGACAGAACAACACAUCAGGCAGCAUUGUAGAAUAAGAAUUGCACAACCUCUGCAUAGAGCUGCUGAAGAGAGAGCAAGAUGUCUUGCACCACUUUCACUUG
rnacentral:lncRNA from 1 species